GGGGAUGUCUUGGUUUCGACGGGGUCGUUGAUACACAGACGGCGAGCGGAGGAUUCUCGUUGGCCUCCAUAAAAACGAGAAAUUUAAAAUUAAACGCUGAUAAUAAAUUAGCUCUUCAGGCUGCCUAAGCGCGCCUCGUCGGCAUAAAGGUAUUCCGAGCCUUUAGUGUCCGGCGUCAGUAAAUCGGACCCGACAACACGUAGGUUAGCGUUGUGAACGGUGCAGCCAAAGCUUUGAGGCUGCAUGGCUCUUAUGAAGCUAGCGCCAUAGCGAACCUGUCUGCUGGUGCACUAUGACGGGAAUUUAAAUAACAGACUACGCUCGUAGAUGUCCGUGGGGAUUCGGUUUCGGACAGGAGUUCGAUUCUCCUCAUCUCCAUAA
rnacentral:tmRNA from 1 species